rnacentral:rRNA from 1 species
CCUACGGGGGGCUGCAGUGAGGAAUAUUGGUCAAUGGGCGCGAGCCUGAACCAGCCAAGUAGCGUGAAGGAUGACUGCCCUAUGGGUUGUAAACUUCUUUUAUAAAGGAAUAAAGUGAGGCACGUGUGCCUUUUUGUAUGUACUUUAUGAAUAAGGAUCGGCUAACUCCGUGCCAGCAGCCGCGGUAAUACGGAGGAUCCGAGCGUUAUCCGGAUUUAUUGGGUUUAAAGGGAGCGUAGAUGGGUUGUUAAGUCAGUGGUAAAAUCGUGGGGCUCAACCCCAUCCAGCCGUUGAAACUGGGGGGCUAGAGUGUGCGAGAGGUAGGCGGAAUGCGUGGUGUAGCGGUGAAAUGCAUAGAGAUCACGCAGAACCCCGAUUGCGAAGGCAGCAUACCGGUGCACAACUGACGCUCAGGCACGAAAGCGUGGGUAUCGAACAGGAUUAGAUACCCGGGUAGUC